GAUAUCCAGCAGGUGGAAAGAUGCUGUUGGAACCAUUUAGAAACAUGCCCUUGGCAAAUUCAACUGAGAAUCAGGCACUAGAGUUGGCUGAAUGUAACUGAGAUGACAGCUCAAAGGAGAAAUGGCCAUUUAUCAGUAUUCUACCUUGGUUCCUCAGGACCUGCCCCUCUCCCCAAGCAGGAUUGCAGCCACUGGUGCUUACCUGGGGUUCCAGAUACAUGGAAUGAGCUACUCUAUGCACUCAUUUUGAAUCGAGAACUAAGGUAUAACACUAGAUGAAAUGAGAAUCGCAGAAGCAUCGAAAUAUGACCGUCUUGAGCAUGGCUGGAUUAGAGCUG
rnacentral:lncRNA from 1 species